rnacentral:rRNA from 1 species
GGGUUGUGAGGUUAAGCGACUAAGCGUACACGGUGGAUGCCCUGGCAGUCAGAGGCGAUGAAGGACGUGCUAAUCUGCGAAAAGCGUCGGUAAGGUGAUAUGAACCGUUACAGCCGGCGAUGUCCGAAUGGGGAAACCCAGUGUGAUUCGUCACACUAUCGUUAACUGAAUACAUAGGUUAACGAGGCGAACCGGGGGAACUGAAACAUCUAAGUACCCCGAGGAAAAGAAAUCAACCGAGAUUCCCCCAGUAGCGGCGAGCGAACGGGGAGCAGCCCAGAGUCUGAAUCAGCUUGUGUGUUAGUGGAACGGUCUGGAAAGUCCGACGGUACAGGGUGAUAGUCCCGUACACCAAAAUGCACAGGCUGUGAACUCGAAGAGUAGGGCGGGACACGUGGUAUCCUGUCUGAAUAUGGGGGGACCAUCCUCCAAGGCUAAAUACUCCUGACUGACCGAUAGUGAACCAGUACCGUGAGGGAAAGGCGAAAAGAACCCCGGCGAGGGGAGUGAAAAAGAACCUGAAACCGUGUACGUACAAGCAGUGGGAGCACCUUCGGGUGUGACUGCGUACCUUUUGUAUAAUGGGUCAGCGACUUAUAUUCUGUAGCAAGGUUAACCGUAUAGGGGAGCCGCAGGGAAACCGAGUCUUAACUGGGCGUUAAGUUGCAGGGUAUAGACCCGAAACCCGGUGAUCUAGCCAUGGGCAGGUUGAAGGUUGGGUAACACUAACUGGAGGACCGAACCGACUAAUGUUGAAAAAUUAGCGGAUGACUUGUGGCUGGGGGUGAAAGGCCAAUCAAACCGGGAGAUAGCUGGUUCUCCCCGAAAGCUAUUUAGGUAGCGCCUCGUGAAUUCAUCUUCGGGGGUAGAGCACUGUUUCGGCUAGGGGGUCAUCCCGACUUACCAACCCGAUGCAAACUACGAAUACCGAAGAAUGUUAUCACGGGAGACACACGGCGGGUGCUAACGUCCGUCGUGAAGAGGGAAACAACCCAGACCGCCAGCUAAGGUCCCAAAGUCACAGUUAAGUGGGAAACGAUGUGGGAAGGCACAGACAGCCAGGAUGUUGGCUUAGAAGCAGCCAUCAUUUAAAGAAAGCGUAAUAGCUCACUGGUCGAGUCGGCCUGCGCGGAAGAUGUAACGGGGCUAAACUGUGCACCGAAGCUGCGGCAGCGACACU